rnacentral:lncRNA from 1 species
UUGUCACCAGGCCGUCUGGUCAUAGGAGGUAAUAGAGAUUAGAUCUCUCUUUUUUUCAUUCAAUUGGAUCUUCUUAUGAUGUGUAGGGGUACCAUUGUCACUAUAUCCCACGAAGAUGAAUGCGAAAAGAAAAUUUUACUUUUCUCAAAAUCUUAAGAUUGUGUAUAUAAUACAUUGUAUGAAAAGUAGCUGCAUCUAAUCUUUGUAAAUAAAAUUUAGAAUCAUGAACAUAUUUAGAAUAAUUUUAAAAUAAUUUAU